UACGAAGGGGGCUAGCGUUGCUCGGAAUUACUGGGCGUAAAGGGCGCGUAGGCGGACAGUUUAGUCAGAGGUGAAAGCCCAGGGCUCAACCUUGGAAUUGCCUUUGAUACUGGCUGUCUUGAGUUCGGGAGAGGUGAGUGGAAUGCCGAGUGUAGAGGUGAAAUUCGUAGAUAUUCGGCGGAACACCAGUGGCGAAGGCGGCUUGCUGGGCAUGAUCUGACGCUGAGGCGCGAAAGCGUGGGGAGCAAACAGG
rnacentral:rRNA from 1 species